ACCAGACUCCUACGGGAGGCAGCAGUGGGGGAUAUUGGACAAUGGGGGGAACCCUGAUCCAGCGACGCCGCGUGAGUGAAGAAGCAUUUCGGUAUGUAAAGCUCUAUCAGCAGGGAAGAAAGAAAUGACGGUACCUGACUAAGAAGCCCCGGCUAACUACGUGCCAGCAGCCGCGGUAAUACGUAGGGGGCAAGCGUUAUCCGGAUUUACUGGGUGUAAAGGGAGCGUAGACGGCAAUGCAAGUCUGGAGUGAAAGGCGGGGGCCCAACCCCCGGACUGCUCUGGAAACUGUACAGCUGGAGUGCAGGAGAGGUAAGUGGAAUUCCUAGUGUAGCGGUGAAAUGCGUAGAUAUUAGGAGGAACACCAGUGGCGAAGGCGGCUUACUGGACUGUAACUGACGUUGAGGCCCGAAAGCGUGGGGAGCAAACAGGAUUAGAUACCCCAGUA
rnacentral:rRNA from 1 species